rnacentral:rRNA from 1 species
AUUGAACGCUGGCGGCAUGCCUUACACAUGCAAGUCGAACGGCAGCACGGAGCUUGCUCUGGUGGCGAGUGGCGAACGGGUGAGUAAUAUAUCGGAACGUACCCUGGAGUGGGGGAUAACGUAGCGAAAGUUACGCUAAUACCGCAUACGAUCUACGGAUGAAAGUGGGGGAUCGCAAGACCUCAUGCUCGUGGAGCGGCCGAUAUCUGAUUAGCUAGUUGGUAGGGUAAAAGCCUACCAAGGCAUCGAUCAGUAGCUGGUCUGAGAGGACGACCAGCCACACUGGAACUGAGACACGGUCCAGACUCCUACGGGAGGCAGCAGUGGGGAAUUUUGGACAAUGGGCGAAAGCCUGAUCCAGCAAUGCCGCGUGAGUGAAGAAGGCCUUCGGGUUGUAAAGCUCUUUUGUCAGGGAAGAAACGGUGAGGGCUAAUAUCCUUUGCUAAUGACGGUACCUGAAGAAUAAGCACCGGCUAACUACGUGCCAGCAGCCGCGGUAAUACGUAGGGUGCAAGCGUUAAUCGGAAUUACUGGGCGUAAAGCGUGCGCAGGCGGUUUUGUAAGUCUGAUGUGAAAUCCCCGGGCUCAACCUGGAAUUGCAUUGGAGACUGCAAGGCUAUAAUCUGGCAGAGGGGGGGUAGAAUUCCACGUGUAGCAGUGAAAAGCGUAGAUAUGUGGAAGGAACACCGAUGGCGAAGGCAGCCCCUUGGGUCAAGAUUGACGCUCAUGCACGAAAGCGUGGGGAGCAAACAGGAUUCGAUACCCUGGUAGUCCACGCCCUAAACGAUGUCUACUAGUUGUCGGGUCUUAAUUGACUUGGUAACGCAGCUAACGCGUGGAGUAGACCGCCUGGGGAGUACGGUCGCAAGAUUAAAACUCAAAGGAAUUGACGGGGACCCGCACAAGCGGUGGAUGAUGUGGAUUAAUUCGAUGCAACGCGAAAAACCUUACCUACCCUUGACAUGGCUGGAGUCCCCGAGAGAUUGGGGAGUGCUCGAAAGAGAACCAGUACACAGGUGCUGCAUGGCUGUCGUCAGCUCGUGUCGUGAGAUGUUGGGUUAAGUCCCGCAACGAGCGCAACCCUUGUCAUUAGUUGCUACGAAAGGGCACUCUAAUGAGACUGCCGGUGACAAACCGGAGGAAGGUGGGGAUGACGUCAAGUCCUCAUGGCCCUUAUGGGUAGGGCUUCACACGUCAUACAAUGGUACAUACAGAGCGCCGCCAACCCGCGAGGGGGAGCUAAUCGCAGAAAGUGUAUCGUAGUCCGGAUUGUAGUCUGCAACUCGACUGCAUGAAGUUGGAAUCGCUAGUAAUCGCGGAUCAGCAUGUCGCGGUGAAUACGUUCCCGGGUCU